rnacentral:rRNA from 1 species
AUUAUUUUAAGAUUAUUUUUUAUUGUUGAAAAAAUUAAAAAUAAAUUGUUUUUAACAAAAAUUAAAAUUUAUAAUAUUUCAUUUUUUGGUUUUUUGUUUUAAAUUAAAAUAAUAAAUAUGGGGGAAAAAAAAAUUUUGUUAUAAAUUAUAUUAGUUUAUUUUAAUUAAAAAUAUUUUUUAUUAAAUUUGUUUUUUUUAUUUUUUUAUAAAAAAUAUUAAUUUAAUUAUUAUUAUUGAGUUUAAUUUAGUUAUUUUUAAAAAAAUUUUGUAUAAAAUAAAUUUGAUAAUAAAUGUUUUUUAAAUUCUUUGGGGGUUUAGUUUAUGAUUUUUUGUUUCUGCUCAUUGUUAAAUAAAAGCACUUUUAGCGUGAUUGGUCCAAAGGUAAA